rnacentral:rRNA from 1 species
GACGAACGCUGGCGGCGUGCUUAACACAUGCAAGUCGAACGGAAAGGCUCCAGCUUGCUGGAGUGCUCGAGUGGCGAACGGGUGAGUAACACGUGGGCAAUCUGCCCUGCACUCUGGGAUAAGCCUGGGAAACUGGGUCUAAUACCGGAUAGGACCUUUCUCCUCAUGGGGUUUGGUGGAAAGUUUUUCGGUGCAGGAUGAGCCCGCGGCCUAUCAGCUUGUUGGUGGGGUAAUGGCCUACCAAGGCGACGACGGGUAGCCGGCCUGAGAGGGUGAUCGGCCACAUUGGGUCUGCGCUACGGCCCAGUCUCCUACGGGCGCCAGCAGUGGUGAAUAUUGCACAAUGGGCCAACGCCUCAUGCAGCGACGCCGCGUGGUGGAUGUCUGCCUUCGGGUUGUAAACCUCUUUCAGUAGUGACGAAGCGCGAGUGACGGUACCUUCAGAAGAAGCACCGGCUACCUACGUG